GUUUCCUGGUCUCUUCCUGAGAGUUUUGGGCCUGGCCAGCCUCUGGUCGCGCAGACUCACCAAAUGCUUUGGCCACGGUGCCACACCGAUCUCGAACCAGCGCCUUCCGCCUCUGGCUGGCAUCGACGCCGUGUCCCUCAGCGUCUUUCUGUGUCAGCACUCCACUUCCUGUUUUUACACGACUGAAUUCUGGAUGCUGUCGUGAACCUUGAAAUGAGGACUGUUCCAACCUGGGUCUGUGGUGUAGAGGUGCUGCUGUUGUGCUGAUCUGGAUGUCGGAUUCCAGUAACACACGCAGAGAGGAGAGACAGCACGAGCAGGGGAGGGGCAGAGAGAGAGGGAGACACAGAAUCCGAAGCAGGCUCCAGGCUCCAGUCUCUGAGCUGUCAGCACAGAGCCCGACGCAGGGCUCGAACCCACGAACCGCGAGAGCCUGACCUGAGCCGGAGUCGGCCGCUCAACCAAGCCACCCAGGUACCCCUACAAACUCUGACUUUUAUCAUAGUCACAACUUCUAUAAAAGUUCUUAUUCUUCUAGUUUGUGAAGAGCCAGUCACUCACACACCCACUAAGCCUUCACCCUCUGUACUGUUAUUCUCAAUGCCAUGACAGGACAGCAAUU